CCGCAUUGUAAUUUGCAGAGGAUGCUUCGGGAGCGGUCCCCAUCUAAGUGCCCUGGAACGGGACGUCAUAGAGGGUGAGAAUCCCGUAUGGGAUGGGGUGUCCGCGCCCGUGUGAAGCUCCUUCGACGAGUCGAGUUGUUUGGGAAUGCAGCUCUAAAUGGGUGGUAAAUUUCAUCUAAAGCUAAAUAUUGGCCGGAGACCGAUAGCGCACAAGUAGAGUGAUCGAAAGAUGAAAAGCACUUUGAAAAGAGAGUUAAAAAGCACGUGAAAUUGUUGAAAGGGAAGCGCUUGCGACCAGACUCGCUCGCGGGGUUCAGCCGGCAUUCGUGCCGGUGUACUUCCCCGCGGGCGGGCCAGCGUCGGUUUGGGCGGUCGGUCAAAGGCCCUCGGAAGGUAACGCCCCCAGGGGCGUCUUAUAGCCGAGGGUGCAAUGCGACCUGCCUAGACCGAGGAACGCGCUUCGGCUCGGACGCUGGCAUAAUGGUCGUAAACGACCCGUCUUGAAACACGGACCAAGGAGUCUAACAUCUACGCGAGUGUUCGGGUGUCAAACCCGUGCGCGAAGUGAAAGCGAACGGAGGUGGGAACCCUUGCGGGUGCACCAUCGACCGAUCCUGAAGUCUUCGGAUGGAUUUGAGUAAGAGCGUAGCUGUUGGGACCCGAAAGAUGGUGAACUAUGCCUGAAUAGGGCGAAGCCAGAGGAAACUCUGGUGGAGGCUCGUAGCGGUUCUGACGUGCAAAUCG
rnacentral:rRNA from 1 species